rnacentral:rRNA from 1 species
ACGCUCGACACCUACGGGAGCAGCAGUGGGGAAUAUUGGGCAAUGGGCGCAAGCCUGACCCAGCAACGCCGCGUGAAGGAAGAAGGCCCUCGGGUUGUAAACUUCUUUUAUCAGGGACGAAGCAAGUGACGGUACCUGAUGAAUAAGCCACGGCUAACUACGUACCAGCAGCCGCGGUAAUCUGAGCGGGCUGGCAAGGC